AUUGAACGCUGGCGGUAUGCUUAACACAUGCAAGUCGUACGGUAACAGGCCUUCGGGCGCUGACGAGUGGCGGACGGGUGAGUAACGCGUAGGAAUCUGCCUCAUAGUGGGGGACAACGUGGGGAAACUCACGCUAAUACCGCAUACGCCCUACGGGGGAAAGCGGGGGAUCUUCGGACCUCGCGCUAUGAGAUGAGCCUGCGUUAGAUUAGCGAGUUGGUAGGGUAAAGGCCUACCAAGGCGACGAUCUAUAGCUGGUCUGAGAGGACGAUCAGCCACACUGGGACUGAGACACGGCCCAGACUCCUACGGGAGGCAGCAGUGGGGAAUAUUGGACAAUGGGCGCAAGCCUGAUCCAGCAAUACCGCGUGUGUGAAGAAGGCCUUAGGGUUGUAAAGCACUUUCAAUAGGGAGGAAAACCUGCCGGUCAAUACCCGGUAGCUUGACAUUACCUAUAGAAGAAGCACCGGCUAACUCCGUGCCAGCAGCCGCGGUAAAAC
rnacentral:rRNA from 1 species